UACGUAGGGACCGAGCGUUGUCCGGAAUCAUUGGGCGUAAAGAGCGUGUAGGCGGCUUGCUAAGUCUUGCGUGAAAUCUCGGGGCUCAACCCCGAGCGGUCGUGGGAAACUGGCAGGCUAGAGUGCGGGAGAGGAGAAUGGAAUUCCUGGUGUAGCGGUGAAAUGCGCAGAUAUCAGGAAGAACACCCGUGGCGAAGGCGGUUCUCUGGAACGCAACUGACGCUGAGACGCGGAAGCGUGGGGAGCAAACAGG
rnacentral:rRNA from 1 species